rnacentral:lncRNA from 1 species
GCAAGGAAAUCAAAACCUUGGAGCGUCCUGGUCUUUCGCUCGUCGAUCAUGAGGGGCGCAGGUUGUGUUGUCUUUGCUCCAUUACUUCACCUUGCUUCUUCAUACAUAUAUCCUACCUGAAGCUGGCAACACUCAGCACUGGCCAACAGGAGUCAUAAUGCACCUACUGGCAACUUGACCUGGAUAGGGCAAUGGCCACAGGUGAAGGUGGGCAACCCAGGGCACUGACCUGGCUUGGUGCCUGACAGGGCAGGCUGGCAGGAGGCAAGACGGUGUGCAGGAAGGAAAGAACAGAUUGGAACAAUAAACAGGGACAGACAAAUGAAGGAAAGAGGAAGGGAGAAGGAAUGCAAGCCAGGUGUAAGGAAGAGAAUGAGAAAUGAAGAAAAAGAAGAAGAAACUAAGAUAAGAAACCAAAACACUUAACAUUUUGACUCAGGAAGCCUGAAGAAGAGCUUGCCUGCUGGACAGUAACUGGACGCCAGCAGAAGGAAGAAGCUGGCAACACUCAACAAACACUGGCCAACAUGAGUCAUAAUGCACUAACUGGCAACUUGACCUGGAUAGGUCGAUGGGCACAGGUGAAGCUGGGCAACCCGGGGCACUGACCUGGCUCGGUGCCUGACAAAGGCUGGCAGGGGGUGAGACGGUGUGAAGGAAGGAAAGAACAGAUGGACACAAUAAACUGGGACGGACAAAUGAAGGAAAAAGGGGGAGAGAAGGAAGGCAAGCCAGGUGGAAGGAAGAGAAUGAGAAAUGAAGAAAAAGACAAGAGGAAGAGAGAAGAAAGAAGAAAUUAAGAUAAGGCACCAAAACACUUUUAACAUUUUGACUAAGGAAGCCUCAAGAGGAAGAGCUUGCCUGCUGGACACCAACAGGACGCCAGCAGAAGGAAGAAGGUUUGCUGGAGCCUUGCCAAGAGAACCAGCGAUGGAAGGAAGAGAGAUCAUUUAAAGUUAUCUCACAUUUGAACAUUAGUUUGCUGGAGCCUUGCCAAGAGAACCAGCGAUGGAAGGAAGAGAGAUCAUUUAAAGUUAUCUCACAUUUGAACAUUAGUACAAAUUGGAAGGAGGGGAGGAAUCAUGUUAACCUGUCAAUCACUCCUCAGGUACAAAUUGGAAGGAGGGGAGGAAUCAUGUUAACCUGUCAAUCACUCCUCAGGUACAAAUUGGAAGGAGGGGAGGAAUCAUGUUAACCUGUCAAUCACUCCUCAGGUCCAGCAACGCCCCCAGUUCACCAGUUGAGCGGCCCCACCUGUCACCAGUCUGAACACUAUCUCUCUGGUGACACCAACUCAAUCUUUCAAGCAACAUGAAGAUAUCACUGUUAAGUGCUUCAUGUUCACUCAAGCCUUGCCUAGUGAAAGAAGGAAGACAUUUGAACAUUGAAGAAUGAUGGAGA